UGAUAUACAGGUCUAAUAUACAGGUCUGAUAUACAGGUCUGAUAUACAGGUCAGGUCUAAUAUACAGGUCUAAUAUACAGGUCUAAUAUACAGGUCUGAUAUACAGGUCAGGUCUGAUAUACAGGUCUGAUAUACAGGUCUGAUAUACAGGUCUGAUAUACAGGUCAGGUCUGAUAUACAGGUCGUCUGAUAGCUGAUUGAACAGCAUGACUAUUACACAGGUGCACCUUGUACAGGGGACAAUAAAAGGCCAGUCUAGACAUCUGUGGCAAUGUGUUGUGUGACAAAACUACUACAACUUUUAAAGUUAAGGGAGUGUGCAAUUGGUAUGCUGACUGCAGGAAUGUCCACCAGAGCUGUUGGCAGAGUUUCAUGUUAAUUUCUCUACCAAUGUUGUUUUAGAGAAUUUGGCAGUACAUCCAACCGGCCUCACAUCCGCAGACCACAUGUAUGGCGUUGUGUGGUUAGAGCGGUUUGCUGAUGUCAUUGUUGUGAACAGAGUGCCCCAUGGUGGCAGUGGUAUGGUAUGGGCAGGCAAAAGCUACGAACACAAUUGCAUUUUAUCGAUUGGCAAUUUGAAUGUUCAAAAAUACUGCGACGAGAUCCUGAGGCCCAUUUAAAAUAUUUAAUAUAUUUUUUUAAGUUAUCUGUUAACAACAGAUGCUUACCUGUAUUCCCAGUCGUGUGAAAUCCAUAGAUUAGGGCCACAAGAAUUUUUUUAAAUUGACUGAUUUUCUCAUGUUAACUGUAACUCAAUAAAAUGGUUGGAAUUGUU